rnacentral:rRNA from 1 species
GACGAACGCUGGCGGCGUGCUUAACACAUGCAAGUCGAACGAUGAAGUUCCUUCGGGAAUGGAUUAGUGGCGAACGGGUGAGGAACACGUGAGAAACCUGCCUUUCAUUUUGGGAUAACUCAGGGAAACCGGGGCUAAAACCGAAAACUCCGUCUCGGCGGCACCGCUGAGCCGGGCAAAAAUUUUGAUGAAAGAUGGUCUCGCGGCCUAUCAGCUAGUUGGUGAGGUAAUGGCUCACCAAGGCAACGACGGGUAGCCGGCCUGAGAGGGCGACCGGCCACACUGGGACUGAGACACGGCCCAGACCCCUACGGGAGGCAGCAGUGGGGAAUAUUGGGCAAUGGGCGCAAGCCUGACCCAGCGACGCCGCGUGAGGGAUGAAGGCCUUCGGGUUGUAGACCUCUUUCAGUAGGGAAGAAGCGAAAGUGACGGUACCUAAAGAAGAAGCACCGGCUAACUAUGUGCCAGCCGCCGCAGUAA